rnacentral:misc_RNA from 1 species
GGAUGGAUCAUUCCUGUUAAUUAUAACAACCAACCUAAGCACUUCAAUGACAUUAACAUCACUGGUUAAAUCAACAAUUAAUGAGAAUUAAAAACUCUCAGCGAUGGAUGACUCGACUCUCACACCGAGGAAGGACGCAGCAAACCGCGAUAAGCAGUAUGAUUUGCGAACUUUCGUGAUUCACCAGAUCUCUGAACGCAAAGGUACUUCUGGCCUCGGCCUGAAGUAUGUUUGGCUCGGUAUCGUUUAGAUUACUCCAAUUGACUACUAACAACAGUCAACUGGUUCACAUUACAGUGUCUAUCAUACGUCACUGGCUAAAUGAAUGCUUACUGAUUGUAAUACAAAACACUCAUACAGUAGUAACGAGAGUUCAAACUGUAUUACUUUCAAAGCAAACAAUCACUACUCAUGAUCCGAGCUCAAACAAGGCUACCCGCUGAAUUUAAGCAUAUAAUUAAGCGGAGGAAAAGAAACCAACUGGGAUUCCCGUAGUAGUGGCGAACGAAGUGGGAAAAGCCCGAGAUGUUAAUCCGUUUCUGACGGAGUUGUGCAUCGAGGUUAUAGCUAUUAAGAAACUGGAACGAAGAUGCCUGGAAAGGCACGCCAGAGAAGGUGACAGCCCUGUUCUUAUUCCAGCUAUUCUUAAGUACAGCUUUAAUCUAAUGAGUCACGCUCUUUGGGAGUAGAGCGCAAAAUGGGUGGUAACCUCCAUCCACGGCUAGAUAAUGGUGAGAGAUCGAUAGCAAACAAGUACCGUGAGGGAAAGUUGAAAAGCACUUCGAAAGGAGAGUUAAAAUACCUGAAAUCGCUGAGGGGGAAGCGGCUGUCCGUGACCCAAUGUUUGAGGGAUUUCUCUCAAUACAUUACUCGACAUCACUUCCGUAUGGCAUGUCUUAUCGUCGCUUCGGUUAUGAUACAGACUUGACAUCGAGAAGUGUGGUUCACCAUUGCAAGUUGUCGAGAGUGGCAUGUACAGACGACCCGUCUUGAAACACGGACCAAGGAGUUAAACGAAAGUGCGAGUGUAAGAGUGUUAAACUCAGACGCGUAGUGAAAGCAAAAGCUGUGAAUUACAAUGCAACAGCAGCCGACUCUUGAAGUUCGAGCCUGAGCAUUUUCGUUUAGACCCGAAAGAUGGUGACCUAUACCUGAGUUGGGUGAAGCCAGGGGAAACUCUGGUGGAAGCUCGUAGCGAUACUGACGUGCAAAUCGUUCGUCAAACUUGGGCAUAGGGGCGAAAGACUAAUCGAACCAUCUAGUAGCUGGUUCCCUC